rnacentral:tRNA from 1 species
GUUACUUUGGCAGAUUAGUGCGAUUGAUUUAGAAUCUUUAGAUAUAUUUUAUAUAGGUAAUA